rnacentral:rRNA from 1 species
UCCGAGUUGUAAUUUGGAGAGGCAUCUUCGGGGGGGAGCGCCGGCCCAUGUUCCUUGGAACAGGACGUCGCAGAGGGUGAGAAUCCCGUGCCUGGCCGGCACCCUCCUCCCGCGUGAAGGGCCUUCGACGAGUCGAGUUGUUUGGGAAUGCAGCUCCAAGCGGGUGGUAAGUUUCAUCUAAAGCUAAAUACCGGCGGGAGACCGAUAGCGCACAAGUAGAGUGAUCGAAAGAUGAAAAGCACUUUGAAAAUAGAGUCAAAAAGUACGUGAAAUUGUUGAAAGGGAAGCGCUUGAGACCAGACUCAGGCCCGGACAAACACCGCGCCCCCCGGGGCCGUGCAAUUGCCUGGGGCUGGGCCAGCAUCAGUCGGCGUGGCGGGACAAAGGCGCGGGGAAUGUGGCUCCCCUCGGGGAGUGUUAUCAGCCCCGCGCUCAAUGCCGCCGACGCCGACUGAGGACCGCGCCUCGGCUAGGAUGCUGGCUUAAUGGCCUUCAGCGACCCGUCUUGAAACACGGACCAAGGAGUCUAACAUCUAUGCGAGUGUUUGGGCGCCAAACCCUUGCGCGGAAUGAAAGUGAACGGAGGUGGGAACCCCCCAGCGGGGCGCACCAUCGACCGAUCCUGAUGUUUUCGGAUGGAUUUGAGUAGGAGCAUAGCUGUUGGGACCCGAAAGAUGGUGAACUAUGCCUGAAUAGGGUGAAGCCAGAGGAAACUCUGGUGGAGGCUCGCAGCGGUUCUGACGUGCAAAUCGAUCGUCAAAUUUGGGUAUAGGGGCGAAAGACUAAUCGAACCAUCUAGUAGCUGG